rnacentral:pre_miRNA from 1 species
UAGGUAGUUUCAUGUUGUUGGGCUGCAAGUUUAUAAUCACAGGAACCUGAAACUGCCUGAA